GCCCCAGACUCCUACGGGAGGCAGCAGUGGGGAAUAUUGCACAAUGGGGGAAACCCUGAUGCAGCGACGCCGCGUGAAGGAUGAAGUAUUUCGGUAUGUAAACUUCUAUCAGCAGGGAAGAAAAUGACGGUACCUGGCUAAGAAGCCCCGACUAACUACGUGCCAGCAGCCGCGGUAAUACGUAGGGGGCAAGCGUUAUCCGGAUUCACUGGGUGUAAAGGGAGCGUAGACGGCGACGCAAGUCUGGAGUGAAAGCCCGGGGCCCAACCCCGGGACUGCUCUGGAAACUGCGUCGCUGGAGUACGGGAGGGGCAGGCGGAAUUCCUGGUGUAGCGGUGAAAUGCGUAGAUAUUAGGAGGAACACCAGUGGCGAAGGCGGCUUACUGGACUGUAACUGACGUUGAGGCUCGAAAGCGUGGGGAGCAAACAGGAUUAGAUACCCCCGUACUU
rnacentral:rRNA from 1 species